rnacentral:lncRNA from 1 species
CCUUUCACUUCACAGUGCAGCAAACGUCAGCCAUGAUGGAUUCCGAUUGAAAAAUUGACGCGGAUAAGUUGUCCCGAGAGAAAUUCGAUUUUCUCAGCUUUCGACACUUCUUGAGCUGAAAAUCUUUAUAAAAUCGAUUGCCAAGCCAGAAACAUCUCCAUCCCUCUUCCGGGCAAACUCCCUAAAUCCGAUCCGUGGUCCUGCUAGCGACGGACGACUGCCGGUUCCAGGUGCUGAUCACGGUUGUUUGUGCCCCGGGGAGGCAGUCAGUUUGUGCAGUCGGUGGCAUUUCGCGAUGGAGAUCACUUUCGGUACCAACGGUGUUGUUCCGGUGUAGCUGGUUCGUUUGCAAGGCGAUGUCGGUCUGACGAUGCCGGAUGUGGUCGUCGAGCCUGGUGGCAAGAUAAGGAGUUUCGUGACACGGAAAAAGGAAGGCCUCAAACAAAUGGACGACUUACAUCAUAUUUUGAAACGAUCGAUUGAAGCAGGUUUUUCGUCGGUUGGGGCCUCGGCUGCAGCCAGCGGGGGAACGUUUGUGACGACGUGAGAACGACGACGCUGGAGGGUUUGCGGCUA